AGCUUUGUACAGUGGCAGUAUCGUAGCCAAUGAGGUUUAUCCAAGGCAUGAUUAUUGCUAUUUUAGACAGGAUCUUGCUGUGUAGUUCAGGCUGGCCUUGAGCUCAUGGUAAUCCUCCUGCUUCAUCCUCCCAAGUUCUGGGAGUACAGGCAUAUA
rnacentral:snRNA from 1 species